UACAGAGGUGCCAAGCGUUAGGCGGAAUCACUGGGCUUAAAGCGCGUGUAGGUGGACGGGUAAGUCUCUUGUGAAAUCCCACGGCUCAACCGUGGAACUGCUGGAUAUACUGCUUGUCUUGAGGCACUUAGGGGCAGCUGGAACAAAUGGUGGAGCGGUGAAAUGCGUAGAUAUCAUUUGGAACGCCAAAGGCGAAAGCAGGCUGCUGGGAGUGAUCUGACACUGAGACGCGAAAGCCAGGGGAGCAAACGGG
rnacentral:rRNA from 1 species